rnacentral:tRNA from 2 species
GACUUUUUAACUAUAUAAGUAUAUAUUUUGAAAAUAUAAAAAAGAGAAAUACUCUAUUAGUCU